rnacentral:rRNA from 1 species
CGAGCGAACAGACGAGGAGCUUGCUCCUCUGACGUUAGCGGCGGACGGGUGAGUAACACGUGGAUAACCUACCUAUAAGACUGGGAUAACUUCGGGAAACCGGAGCUAAUACCGGAUAAUAUAUUGAACCGCAUGGUUCAAUAGUGAAAGACGGUUUUGCUGUCACUUAUAGAUGGAUCCGCGCCGCAUUAGCUAGUUGGUAAGGUAACGGCUUACCAAGGCAACGAUGCGUAGCCGACCUGAGAGGGUGAUCGGCCACACUGGAACUGAGACACGGUCCAGACUCCUACGGGAGGCAGCAGUAGGGAAUCUUCCGCAAUGGGCGAAAGCCUGACGGAGCAACGCCGCGUGAGUGAUGAAGGUCUUCGGAUCGUAAAACUCUGUUAUUAGGGAAGAACAAAUGUGUAAGUAACUAUGCACGUCUUGACGGUACCUAAUCAGAAAGCCACGGCUAACUACGUGCCAGCAGCCGCGGUAAUACGUAGGUGGCAAGCGCUAUCCGGAAUUAUUGGGCGUAAAGCGCGCGUAGGCGGUUUUUUAAGUCUGAUGUGGAAGCCCACGGCUCAACCGUGGAGGGUCAUUGGAAACUGGAAAACUUGAGUGCAGAAGAGGAAAGUGGAAUUCCAUGUGUAGCGGUGAAAUGCGCAGAGAUAUGGAGGAACACCAGUGGCGAAGGCGACUUUCUGGUCUGUAACUGACGCUGAUGUGCGAAAGCGUGGGGAUCAAACAGGAUUAGAUA